UACGGGGGGAGCAAGCGUUGUUCGGAUUUACUGGGCGUAAAGGGCGCGUAGGCGGUCAGCACAAGUCAGUUGUGAAAUCUCCGAGCUUAACUCGGAAAGGUCAACUGAAACUGUGCGACUAGAGUGCGGAAGGGGCAACUGGAAUUCUUGGUGUAGCGGUGAAAUGCGUAGAUAUCAAGAGGAACACCUGCGGCGAAGGCGGGUUGCUGGGCCGACACUGACGCUGAUGCGCGAAAGCCAGGGGAGCGAACGGG
rnacentral:rRNA from 1 species